GAUGAAGAACGUAGCGAAAUGCGAUAAGUAAUGUGAAUUGCAGAAUUCCGUGAAUCAUCGAAUCUUUGAACGCACAUUGCGCCCGCUGGUAUUCCGGCGGGCAUGCCUGUUCGAGCGUCAUUUCAACCCUCAAGCUCUCCGGAGUUUGGUGUUGGGGCGCCUGGGGCUUUUCGACCUCAGGGCCCUCAAGUCCAUCGGCGGGACCGCCAGGACACUGAGCGCAGUAGUAUUAUUUCGCUCGGUAGGAUCUUCCACGGUGGGUCGAUCUGGCCGCUAAACCCCCCAAUUCUCACCAAAGGUUGACCUCGGAUCAGGUAGGAAUACCCGCUGAACUUAAGCAUAUCAAUAAGCGGAGGA
rnacentral:misc_RNA from 1 species